rnacentral:rRNA from 1 species
UACGUAGGGUGCAAGCGUUAUUCGGAAUUACUGGGCGUAAAGCGCGCGUAGGCGGCUAUGCAAGACAGAUGUGAAAUCCCCGGGCUCAACCUGGGAACUGCAUUUGUGACUGCAUAGCUAGAGUACGGUAGAGGGGGGUGGAAUUCCGCGUGUAGCAGUGAAAUGCGUAGAUAUCAGGAAGAACACCCGUGGCGAAAGCGGCUCUCUGGAACGGUACUGACGCUGAGGAGCGAAAGCGUGGGUAGCAAACAGG